GCAAUCUACCUUUAACUGGUGAAUAGCCCGAAGAAAUUCGGAUUAAUACACCAUAGCAUUGUUUGUUGGCAUCAACAGACAAUUAAAACUCCGGUGGUUAAAGAUGAGCAUGCGUGACAUUAGCUAGUUGGUGAGGUAAUGGCUCACCAAGGCAACGAUGUCUAGGGGAUCUGAGAGGAUUAACC
rnacentral:rRNA from 1 species